rnacentral:rRNA from 1 species
UACAGAGGUCCCAAGCGUUGUUCGGAUUCACUGGGCGUAAAGCGCACGCAGGCGGUCUGUUAAGUUUGGAGUGACAGUUGGUGGCUUAACUGCCAAAGUGCUUCGAAAACUGACAGACUUGAGGGCUUCAGAGGGACACGGAAUUCCGGGUGGAGUGGUGAAAUGCGUAGAGAUCCGGAGGAACACCAAAGGCGAAGGCAGUGUCCUGGGGAGUACCUGACGCUCAGGUGCGAAAGCCAGGGGAGCGAACGGG